ACUUAUUUAAUAGAGUUUUCAAAUGAUCAUUUUAAUAAAAUUUUACUAACAAAUUCAUUUUCGUAAUAAUUUACAGAUAUUAUUCCAGAAUAAUAUAUUAUUGUAGUUCAUACAAGCUUAAAGAAGCUGCACCUAAACCUGAAUUAUUGAAAUUUUUCAUUAAAAAAUAAUCAAAAAUUAAUUUUAAACGGCGGUAUACAAACUAGUUUUAAGAAAAAUUAAGUGUGAAAAAUCAUAAAUGUACAAACUCCUUUGAAAAAUUAAAUACCGUCAAGUUUAUUAAUUUUAAUAAGUAUUAAUUUAUAAAUAUUAUUGUAGAAAAAAAUAAUAGGGUAUCUAAUCCUAGUUUA
rnacentral:rRNA from 1 species